UUAAGCGACUAAGCGUACACGGUGGAUGCCCUGGCAGUCAGAGGCGAUGAAGGACGUGCUAAUCUGCGAUAAGCGUCGGUAAGGUGAUAUGAACCGUUAUAACCGGCGAUUUCCGAAUGGGGAAACCCAGUGUGUUUCGACACACUAUCAUUAACUGAAUCCAUAGGUUAAUGAGGCGAACCGGGGGAACUGAAACAUCUAAGUACCCCGAGGAAAAGAAAUCAACCGAGAUUCCCCCAGUAGCGGCGAGCGAACGGGGAGGAGCCCAGAGCCUGAAUCAGUGUGUGUGUUAGUGGAAGCGUCUGGAAAGGCGCGCGAUACAGGGUGACAGCCCCGUACACAAAAAUGCACAUAUUGUGAGCUCGAUGAGUAGGGCGGGACACGUGGUAUCCUGUCUGAAUAUGGGGGGACCAUCCUCCAAGGCUAAAUACUCCUGACUGACCGAUAGUGAACCAGUACCGUGAGGGAAAGGCGAAAAGAACCCCGGCGAGGGGAGUGAAAAAGAACCUGAAACCGUGUACGUACAAGCAGUGGGAGCACGCUUCGGCGUGUGACUGCGUACCUUUUGUAUAAUGGGUCAGCGACUUAUAUUCUGUAGCAAGGUUAACCGAAUAGGGGAGCCGAAGGGAAACCGAGUCUUAACUGGGCGUUAAGUUGCAGGGUAUAGACCCGAAACCCGGUGAUCUAGCCAUGGGCAGGUUGAAGGUUGGGUAACACUAACUGGAGGACCGAACCGACUAAUGUUGAAAAAUUAGCGGAUGACUUGUGGCUGGGGGUGAAAGGCCAAUCAAACCGGGAGAUAGCUGGUUCUCCCCGAAAGCUAUUUAGGUAGCGCCUCGUGAACUCAUCUCCGGGGGUAGAGCACUGUUUCGGCAAGGGGGUCAUCCCGACUUACCAACCCGAUGCAAACUGCGAAUACCGGAGAAUGUUAUCACGGGAGACACACGGCGGGUGCUAACGUCCGUCGUGAAGAGGGAAACAACCCAGACCGCCAGCUAAGGUCCCAAAGUCAUGGUUAAGUGGGAAACGAUGUGGGAAGGCCCAGACAGCCAGGAUGUUGGCUUAGAAGCAGCCAUCAUUUAAAGAAAGCGUAAUAGCUCACUGGUCGAGUCGGCCUGCGCGGAAGAUGUAACGGGGCUAAACCAUGCACCGAAGCUGCGGCAGCGACACUAUGUGUUGUUGGGUAGGGGAGCGUUCUGUAAGCCUGUGAAGGUGUGCUGUGAGGCAUGCUGGAGGUAUCAGAAGUGCGAAUGCUGACAUAAGUAACGAUAAAGCGGGUGAAAAGCCCGCUCGCCGGAAGACCAAGGGUUCCUGUCCAACGUUAAUCGGGGCAGGGUGAGUCGACCCCUAAGGCGAGGCCGAAAGGCGUAGUCGAUGGGAAACAGGUUAAUAUUCCUGUACUUGGUGUUACUGCGAAGGGGGGACGGAGAAGGCUAUGUUGGCCGGGCGACGGUUGUCCCGGUUUAAGCGUGUAGGCUGGUUUUCCAGGCAAAUCCGGAAAAUCAAGGCUGAGGCGUGAUGACGAGGCACUACGGUGCUGAAGCAACAAAUGCCCUGCUUCCAGGAAAAGCCUCUAAGCAUCAGGUAACAUCAAAUCGUACCCCAAACCGACACAGGUGGUCAGGUAGAGAAUACCAAGGCGCUUGAGAGAACUCGGGUGAAGGAACUAGGCAAAAUGGUGCCGUAACUUCGGGAGAAGGCACGCUGAUAUGUAGGUGAAGUCCCUUGCGGAUGGAGCUGAAAUCAGUCGAAGAUACCAGCUGGCUGCAACUGUUUAUUAAAAACACAGCACUGUGCAAACACGAAAGUGGACGUAUACGGUGUGACGCCUGCCCGGUGCCGGAAGGUUAAUUGAUGGGGUCAGCGCAAGCGAAGCUCUUGAUCGAAGCCCCGGUAAACGGCGGCCGUAACUAUAACGGUCCUAAGGUAGCGAAAUUCCUUGUCGGGUAAGUUCCGACCUGCACGAAUGGCGUAAUGAUGGCCAGGCUGUCUCCACCCGAGACUCAGUGAAAUUGAACUCGCUGUGAAGAUGCAGUGUACCCGCGGCAAGACGGAAAGACCCCGUGAACCUUUACUAUAGCUUGACACUGAACAUUGAGCCUUGAUGUGUAGGAUAGGUGGGAGGCUUGGAAGUGUGGACGCCAGUCUGCAUGGAGCCGACCUUGAAAUACCACCCUUUAAUGUUUGAUGUUCUAACGUUGACCCGUAAUCCGGGUUGCGGACAGUGUCUGGUGGGUAGUUUGACUGGGGCGGUCUCCUCCUAAAGAGUAACGGAGGAGCACGAAGGUUGGCUAAUCCUGGUCGGACAUCAGGAGGUUAGUGCAAUGGCAUAAGCCAGCUUGACUGCGAGCGUGACGGCGCGAGCAGGUGCGAAAGCAGGUCAUAGUGAUCCGGUGGUUCUGAAUGGAAGGGCCAUCGCUCAACGGAUAAAAGGUACUCCGGGGAUAACAGGCUGAUACCGCCCAAGAGUUCAUAUCGACGGCGGUGUUUGGCACCUCGAUGUCGGCUCAUCACAUCCUGGGGCUGAAGUAGGUCCCAAGGGUAUGGCUGUUCGCCAUUUAAAGUGGUACGCGAGCUGGGUUUAGAACGUCGUGAGACAGUUCGGUCCCUAUCUGCCGUGGGCGCUGGAGAACUGAGGGGGGCUGCUCCUAGUACGAGAGGACCGGAGUGGACGCAUCACUGGUGUUCGGGUUGUCAUGCCAAUGGCACUGCCCGGUAGCUAAAUGCGGAAGAGAUAAGUGCUGAAAGCAUCUAAGCACGAAACUUGCCCGAGAUGAGUUCUCCCUGACCCUUUAAGGGUCCUGAAGGAACGUUGAAGACGACGACGUUGAUAGGCCGGGUGUGUAAGCGCAGCGAUGCGUUGAGCUAACCGGUACUAAUGAACCGUGAGGCUUAACCUU
rnacentral:rRNA from 1 species